AUCAGGUCGCCUCGCGCGGCCAGGCCGGCGCGCCCUCGCGGGCGGCGAAUCCGGUCCGACGCCCGUCGAUAACCUGGCGUCACG
rnacentral:ncRNA from 1 species